rnacentral:antisense_RNA from 1 species
CAGAAACCGCGAGCCGUUUCCUUUCUCUUCGGAAAUGGCAGUUUUGUUGUCCUGGAUGAAGGCGAGCGCCGCUGCCUCCCCGAAUGCUGAGCACGCUGGCUUCGCGGUGCCCGGAAGGAAGCCUUUGAAGACCCUGACUCCAGUGUCUCCAGCUGAGAGGCUGAGCUUGCCAGCUCCAUUUCUGACUGCUCAUGGAGCAGAAUCAGUGACCAAGGAGAAAAGGGCUGAGUGAAGAAACAAGUGUGAGUGCCAAGAUGAUGCCAAGGGCUGUGAUUUCCUGGUGGGAAGAAAGAAGGAAUAGAAGCCAAAGGAAGGGGGACGAAAAGCAAAACCAAGAAUCACAAGGAAUCAAGUUCGGAGAGAAUUUUGGUAGAGAUUUUGAGAGGGGGGCUUUAAGGCAGCCAUGGACAUACUGAAGCAAGAGGAAUGAAGGGAAAAAAGAAAAGGGGGGAAAAAAAGAAGAAGAAUGGGGCCAAGGAGGAUUUAAGACUACCAUUAUGGGUUACAAGUUGAAUUCUUUUUAAUAUUCUUCAAGCAAUGACAGUAAAGAUUCAAAUAACUUUUAAAUUACCUUUGAUUUCUAAACCAAGUUUCUUGGAAUGUGAAAGUCGCCAAGACUGGGCCCUGCAGGGCCUGGGUUGGGCUACUACUGCCUAUGGAGAUUCUGAGGGUAUUAACCUUAAUAAUGGCAU